GAAGUGCUUACGUGACUGAUUUCGUCUCGAACUUAAGAACUAUAACUUUAAUGCAUCCUAAUGUAUUUCCGGAGCCCUAUCCCGAACGAUUAUCGCCAGAAAACAGGACACUGGAGGACGGAAUGCAAAUCAGCAGCAGGUAGAUCUCAACCACAGAACACAGGACCAGCUCCUGCCACUAGGCGUAAGCAGAGCUCUUACAGACAAGGUAACUGGCAACGCAGACAGGAAUCACAUCAAAAUAAUGGCCCCUUUGCACUUAGGCAGCAACCUUAUAAUCCACAUUUUAAUCCCCACCCAUAUGAUAACGAAAGACUGGACCGACAAUAGGGAGGCCCAGGUGAUGAUGAGGGACAGUGUGAAGCACUACACACGAUGCUGCAUUUGCAAUUGUCCCGUAACACAGAAAGCUUGCCCAUGUUAGAUAUAGAGAUAGGUGAAAAGACUUAUUCCUUUUUAGUUGACAGUGGAGCCACUAAAAGUUCACUGUCUGGAAAAUUCUAUAGUGGGCCUGUUUCCUCUGUGUGCAUCAACACCAUGGGAAUAAACGGAACUCUAGUGCAAUGCCCCAAAACUCAUUCUCUAAAAACACGCUGGGGCCCAAAACCAGAUGAAAUUACAUAUCAUCCAUUCAUAAUUAUUCCAAACUCGCCUGUGAAUCUAUUAGGCAGAGAUUUAAUGGCAAAAAUGAACUUGUGUAUUUCAUUUAACACAAAGGGUGAAAUGUUUGCAGAUACUGAUAACAGCUAUGUUUUCUCUGCCCUAUGCACCGACACCAUGGAGAAGGAACAUCCUCUGUGUCAGCUGGACGCCUCAGCGGAGAAUGAACUCAAUAUCCAUCUGACUGACUUUUGCAGGCUAUACAGCUGCCAUCGGCAAUUGCAGUUGUUAAAACGAAGGGGCACAGCACGGCUGACACAGACGAAGCAGUGGGAAAUGCUCUUGCAGACGUAACCGC
ensembl:lncRNA